GUCCUUCGCCAGGUACAUUUGCUGAAACCUUAGCGAGCCGUUUAGAAACGGUUGAUCAUACGACUGUAAAUAAAAUGGUCUUCUGGUUGAAGUUUGUUAUAUCUUUCAACUGGAACGCUGGUUAGUGAUUACCGCUAGCAACACCUUGAGUCUGCAGGAAAAUUCGACGGAGAAUAACCCGCAGCCAGAAACGUCAAAAGCCGAUGGUCUCUGGUUCACAGACUAGAUAAGGGUGGACACUGUUCUCACGUACAGUGUUUCAGAUAUAGCCGCGUCUUUGGAGGAUUGUUUUCUAAAGUUUGAUGUAUAGAUAUUCGUUCCGUAGGUGAACCUGCGGAAGGAUCAUUA
rnacentral:rRNA from 1 species